CGUGCAGGCGGUUUGGUAAGUCGGACGUAAAAGCUCCUGGCUCAACUAGGAGAGGCCGUUCGAUACUGCCAGGCUAGAGGGCAGCAGAGGGAGGUGGAAUUCCGGGUGUAGCGGUGAAAUGCGUAGAUAUCCGGAGGAACACCAGUGGCGAAGGCGGCCUCCUGGACUGUCCCUGACGCUAAGACGCGAAAGCUAGGGGAGCGAACG
rnacentral:rRNA from 1 species